AUGGGGUUCCCGGCGCCGGUGUUCUCAGAGUGCGAGGUGCCCAGGUUGCUUCUCAACUUCGUCUUCCUGCUCGCCCGCCACCGCCGCCUCUCCUCCUGGCUGCUCCGCCUCGUCGGCGCUGGCGUCGACGACGAUCUCAGCUUUGACCACCCCACUACCUCCGGCAUCACCGACUACCACCGCCAUCACCGGGAGCAGUACGAUGAUUAUGAAGAACGCUGCAUCGAGGAGCUGGAGAAGCAUUCCCCAGCCAUGCGCUUCGACGCGCUCUCCGGCGCUGGAGACGUAGCUCUGCUGCUGCCGGAGGGGUGCGCGGUGUGCCUCGGCAACUUCCACGGCGCCGCGCACGUGCGCCGGCCGCGCGGGUGCAGGCACGUGUUCCACCGCGCCUGCCUCGACCGCUGGGCCGCACAUGGCCACAGCACCUGCCCGCUCUGCCGGGCGCCUCUCCUCCCGCCCUUCCUCCUGCCGCUGCCGCUUCCGGCGCCGUGA
rnacentral:rRNA from 1 species